UGGGGAAUAUUGGACAAUGGGCGCAAGCCUGAUCCAGCCAUGCCGCGUGAGUGAUGAAGGCCUUAGGGUUGUAAAGCUCUUUCGGCGGGGAAGAUAAUGACGGUACCCGCAGAAGAAGCCCCGGCUAACUUCGUGCCAGCAGCCGCGGUAAUACGAAGGGGGCUAGCGUUGCUCGGAAUCACUGGGCGUAAAGCGCACGUAGGCGGGUUACUAAGUCAGGGGUGAAAUCCUGGAGCUCAACUCCAGAACUGCCUUUGAUACUGGUGAGCUUGAGUUCGGGAGAGGUGAGUGGAACUGCGAGUGUAGAGGUGAAAUUCGUAGAUAUUCGCAAGAACACCAGUGGCGAAGGCGGCUCACUGGCCCGAUACUGACGCUGAGGUGCGAAAGCGUGGGGAGCAAACA
rnacentral:rRNA from 1 species